rnacentral:rRNA from 1 species
UACAGAGGGGGCGAGCGUUGUUCGGAAUUAUUGGGCGUAAAGGGCGCGUAGGCGGUGCGGUAAGUCACCUGUGAAAUCUCCUGGCUCAACUGGGAGCUGCAGGCGAAACUGCCGUGCUGGAGUGUGGGAGAGUGCGUGGAAUUCCCGGUGUAGCGGUGAAAUGCGUAGAGAUCAUGAGGAAGACCAGUGGCGAAGGCGGGUCUCUGGACAGUUCCUGACACUGAGGCACGAAGGCCAGGGGAGCAAACGGG